UUCAACUUCUGUAUAAAGGCAAGCCCUGUGGCCUUGAAAUCACUCUGUAUUGCUGAGGUGUGUGAGAGAGAGCAGCCUAGCAGCUGCUGCUGCUUUUUUGGCUGUGGAGGUUCUGUCUCUCUGGUCUGGUCUUUGCUGCUUCUGUGUUGAAGUCUGGUGAUACCUUCACAUCAGAAGCAGCAUUGUGGCAUCAUUCCUGGUCAGAAGGGAUCACCCAUUGGACUAAUCCAAGAAGGGGGAAACAAAAGCAGUCGAGAAAAAAUCACGAUGCAAUCACUGAGAAAAAAGUACCAGGAAGAAGCGUAAUUGUCCGGGUGAGGCUGGAGUGUGAGUGACUGGACUUGAACCCAGACUUAGAGGCUAUGUUCUCCAGCUCAGGGUCCUAAGAUUCUGGAGCAGGGGGCUGGAGAAACCCCCCUUCAUGCACAGAGAUGCAAGUUUUGGGUGAUAUAGAAAGAAAGAAAGAAAGAAAGAAAGAAAGAAAGAAAGAAAGAAAGAAAGAAAGAAAGAAAGAAAGAAAGAAAAUUGUAUUAUUAUUUUUAAAAAUGUGGUAUGUGCUGCCCUGGGACUUUUUUUGUGGAAGAAUGGUGAAUUUCACUUUUUUAUGAAAGUAAAUUUCACUUUUCUGUGAAAAGUGAAUUUCACUUUUUUUGUGAAAUAAUCUCUUUAUUUAGCAGGGGGAGAGUAACUGGCCCUAUCCACCCCCAGGACAGUACCUCCAGUGACUGUUGCUGGUGUCUAUCUUAUGUUUCUUUUUAAAUUGUGAGCCCUUUUGGGACAGGGAUCCAUCUUGUUUGUUUGUUUGCUUAUUCCUCUGUGUAAACCGCCCGGAGCCAUUUUUGGAAGGGUGGUAUAGAAAUCAAUCAAUCAAUCAAUGGUCUCAUCCCCCCCCCCCAACACCCCGCAAUAAAUAAAAAAUGCAUUUCUGUUGAUAUACCAUACAGAGAGGGCCAGGAUUCCAGAAUAUUUAUAGCUGGUCUAGCCAAUCCAGAAUUUAUUUCAAGGAUGUUUCUGGCAAUCUUUUUUCCAUGAUGGCACUCCAGGCUGGCAGAGAGCGCCUCCCAUGUGGAGCCUCCCUAUCGUGUUUGCCUCCCCUGCCCCCUGUGGCAACUCCACGUCCUAGAGGCUGGGAACCUAGCUGGGUGCCAUGUGGCAAGAAUUACCAACUUACUACUCACUGCCAUAAGUCUGUAACUUUAUUGUAGCAAGCAAGACACCCUUCUUUCUGUAUCUCUUCCCACUUGAGUGGUUACUUCUCCCUCAACUUCAGGAGGUUAUCAUUUCCUCACACCAACCUCUCCCUGCAUUAGCUUGUGAGAAUAACCAGGUGAUUCCCUUCUCCUCCCUCCCUCCCUCAUUAUCUCUCCUCCAGUCACGGAACAGAGUGUUAUCUGGUUAAAGAAUUUAACAGCUGGGGAACAGAAGAAGUCUUUUUCUGUGCUUGUUUAUUUAACUGAUGAUGGUGUGUGUGCCGAAAUGCUUUUAUUGAUGUGUACCAACUUUUAUUUUUGCGCAAUAAAGGGUCUUCUGAA